rnacentral:lncRNA from 1 species
UUUAUUUCUUUUUUAAGGGUGGUGUGAAUUUUUAUUUCUGCUCAGGUCAUAUCCAGAAUAAAGGGGGAAAGUGAAGAGCGGACACUCAAACUGUCAAACAAUCUAGGUGAUCGAGGAGUUUUUGUCCAACUCUGAAGCCAUCCUGUCCACCCAUCCCCUUGUGGUCCAAAAUAGCCUACGGAGCACGAAUCAGCAACUGAACACAAAAGAAAUCGCUCCAGGCGACACCAGAAGUUUAGGCCAUCCACCAAGAACAACCACAGAGGCAGAUCAAGGAACAAUCACAGAGGUCUCACACAUACACACACACCUCGCAGAGAUGAGCAGCACGACAGUGCUGUUCUCGCCGAGCUCCUCCCUGUUCCUCACCAAACCUUCUCCCCUCACCAAGAGCAGGGCGGCGGCGGCGUUGGCGGCGGCUGUGAGGUGCAGCAAUGAGCCAGCCCUUUCAGUGUCGCGUGAGGAGGAGGGAGUAGAAAUGAUGGGGAGGAGGCGUUCAUUGAUUUCUGCAGCUGCAGCUGCCUGUGGAGCUUCAGUGCUUGGGUUUGCAGGCCAUGGCCUGGCCGCCACUCAGGGCCUGCUGGCAGGGAGGAUCCCAGGCUUAUCAGAACCUGAUGAGAAUGGUAAAUUCUUCUCUUUUAUUCAUUUGUGAUUGAACUUGGUUGAUUUAUUUUGGGUCUAUAUGAGUACUUCAGAUUUUAGAGUUUGAGACAAACAAAUGCUCUGAAAGUGCUUCAUCUGAAUGCGCCAGUGUGUGAUUCUUCCUCUGGAGAAACCAAACUACAAUAGAAGUUCAGACAGAAAUACUGUUAAAAUGUUUUCAUGAUGCUGAUUGUUCAGACAGGCUGGAGAACAUACCGUAGGCCAGAUGACAAGUCCGGCGGCCAUGGAGUCGGCUGGAGCCCCAUCAUCCCCUACAGCUUCAAAGUUCCUGAGGGCUGGGACGAGGUAAGACUAAGACCUGAAGCUACUGACAGAACUUCAGUUUCACGUAACGGUCACUUAUUUCUGAUUUCGGAUCCGAAAUUUGUGCUGUGUUACCAUGGCUCCAAUCCAGGUCCCUGUGUCAAUUGCUGAUCUCGGUGGCACAGAGAUCGACCUGCGCUUUGCAAACCCAAAGGAGGGCCGGUUGUUCGUCGUC